UGUGACUGCUAGGGGUGUCCGCACAGGCGGGCUGAGAGGAAAACCGAUGUUUUUUAACCCUUUGGACCUGAACUGGAUCAUGCCAGCGUAGGAAAGUAGAAUGAGCAACAG
rnacentral:ncRNA from 2 species